rnacentral:lncRNA from 10 species
CUUUGGAGCAUUUUUUAUAACAUCAUAAGGAUGUCAGUGUUUCUCUUUGCUGCACAGGUAUACUGUGCUUAGACGAUAGGAAAUUUUUGGCCUGAAAAUGUACAUGUAAAUCAUAUUUCAUCAAAAUCAAAUUACAUCCAAAAUACAAUUGAGGCGUUCACUAUUUCUGGGGUCCCUGUGGAAAAUCAUACAAGAGGCAAUACUGCAUAUAGGAAAGAAUGGAGGGUGGGAGCCAGAAAAUCAAACUGAAGCCCCAGUUCAAUCUCUUCCUACCUGUGUGACUUUUGGUAAGUCUUUUAGCCUCUGCCCAACAGUUUUCACAUCUGUAAAAUGAAGAUGCCAUGAGGUUGGUUUUUUUUUUUAACCUACUUUAUGGAUUUUGUGAGGACCCAGUGAAAUGUUUUAGAGAAGGAUAAAGAAAGGCUAAAUCCAUAUCCUCUAGGAUUUCAAACCCUCUUCAUAAAAAUCCACUUACAAGAAUUGGAAACAACACAGGGGGGAAAGCAAAGGGUAUGAAAAUGAAGCCAUUUUAAGCAACAAGCGUAUUGCCACACAUAGCCAGACUCCAUACAUUAUAUUUCUUGAAUGAAUAAAAAGAAGGUAUAGCUGAUUCUGCCACCAUUUACUAUUCUGUGCCUUGGGAAAUCUCAAACAGCCUUACACUUGGGUGGCACUCACUUAUUCUUACAAUAAAGAUCACCAGCAACCUAAUAAAAAAUAACUCAUUCUUAGAGUGCCACAGUUGCACAAAUCACUUGCAUGCCUUAAGUGAUUCAUUUGAGAAGUCUUUUCUGUCACAAGAUAUGUUUCUCAGAAUGUGAUUCUCAAGACACCAGAGUCAGAAUUACCUAGAUUCAUGUAGCAAAUGUAGAAUUCUAGAUCAAGCCCACAUUUGACAAAUUAGAAUCUCUGGGGAUGUGUCUGGAUAAUUUGCAUUUUCACACACACACACACACACACACACACACACACACACAGAUACACACUAACCCACUCCUACACUGUAAUUCCAAAGUUUGACAGCAAUUUUCAGGUUUCCAAGAAUAAGAAAAACUAUGACAUCUUUGGAAGAACCUGGCUCAGUAAAAGUUCCUUUAAUCUCCUCGGCCUUUUUUUUUUUUUUUUUGUCUUUGCUAAAUGUAAUAAACACUUCUAGUAAGUCCUGGAAAUUAAUCAUGCCAUAAAAAGUUAAUUAAAACUAACUUAAACCUAUAAAAAGAAUCAGUCCCUGAAAUUUACACAUGUACACUGUACAUUUAUUAUGUAAUUUACACAUGUACACUGUGAAGUGGGGUGUUAAAGUCUCCCAUUAUUAUUGCAUGGGAGUCUAUGUCUAUUUGUAA